rnacentral:rRNA from 1 species
GCUCUUAUCGGGUGGCGAGUGGCGGACGGGUGAGGAAUACAUCGGAAUCUACUUUUUCGUGGGGGAUAACGUAGGGAAACUUACGCUAAUACCGCAUACGACCUACGGGUGAAAGCAGGGGAUCUUCGGACCUUGCGCGAUUGAAUGAGCCGAUGUCGGAUUAGCUAGUUGGCGGGGUAAAGGCCCACCAAGGCGACGAUCCGUAGCUGGUCUGAGAGGAUGAUCAGCCACACUGGAACUGAGACACGGUCCAGACUCCUACGGGAGGCAGCAGUGGGGAAUAUUGGACAAUGGGCGCAAGCCUGAUCCAGCCAUACCGCGUGGGUGAAGAAGGCCUUCGGGUUGUAAAGCCCUUUUGUUGGGAAAGAAAUCCAGCUGGUUAAUACCCGGUUGGGAUGACGGUACCCAAAGAAUAAGCACCGGCUAACUUCGUGCCAGCAGCCGCGGUAAUACGAAGGGUGCAAGCGUUACUCGGAAUUACUGGGCGUAAAGCGUGCGUAGGUGGUCGUUUAAGUCUGUUGUGAAAGCCCUGGGCUCCAACCUGGGAACUGCAUGGAAACUGGACGACUAAG